rnacentral:rRNA from 1 species
CCCGGCCACCCUUGCUUACUUUAACCUGUUGCUUUGGUGGGCCCGCCGCGAGGCCGCCGGGGAACUUUUUCAGUUUCCAGGCCCGUGCCCACCAAGGUCUUACCGAACUCUGCAAGUCUUUGCUGUCUGAGCGUGAAAGCGCAAUUAUUUAAAACUUUCAACAACGGAUCUCUUGGUUCCGGCAUCGAUGAAGAACGCAGCGAAAUGCGAUAAGUAAUGUGAAUUGCAGAAUUCCGUGAAUCAUCGAAUCUUUGAACGCAUAUUGCGCCCUCUGGUAUUCCGGAGGGCAUGCCUGUCCGAGCGUCAUUACUACCCUCAAGCACAGCUUAUUUGUUGAGCCAUUGUCCUAAAUGGACAGGCUCGAAAUGCAGCGGCGAUGCCGAGUUUGGUGCCCGAGUGUAUGGAGCUUUGUCACACGCUUUGGUGGCCCAGCCGGCGUUCUGUCUUUAUAUCAUCUAAGAUUUGACCUCGGAUCAGGUAGGAAUACCCGCUGAACUUAAGCAUAUCAAUAAGCGGAGGAAAAGAAACCAACAGGGAUUGCCUUAGUAACGGCGAGUGAAGCGGCAAAAGCUCAAAUUUGAAAUCUGGCUUCCUGUCUCGGGGCCCGAGUUGUAAUUUGGAGAGGAUGCUUUGGGUGUGGUCGCGGUCUAAGUCCCCUGGAACGGGGCAUCAUAGA